CCAUGCUUUUCCAUCACAGAGUGUUUCCUUUGAGCUCUGCUCCAACCCUGGUGUUCUUCUUCCUCCACCUGCCUUAAAAGGGGCUGUUCCUCUUUACAACCCAUCUCAGGUGCCUCAGCUGCCCACGGCCACUAGCCUGAAUCGGCCAAAUCGCCUAGCUCAGCGUCGCUAUCCCACCCAGCCAUGCUGAGAAUAAACACACGUCCCAGGCUCAUCUCCCAGGACUGAAACUUUUCUUGCUCUCUUUUUCUCAAUCUCCCAGCCCCUCUCUACCAUAUUGGGACCCUCAAGAGGUUUGUGCUAGCCCGAUGCCUCCACCGGGCACUUAGAAGGCAAGAGGACAGGAUCUCUCAAGACACAGCACAAUUCAGUCUCUUAAGAUUAGCUUCACAAUGAUGGAAAUUAUUUCAUCAGGUGGAAAGUCUGGGUCUAAUAGCAGACUGCACAUGAGCAGAGUGACAUGGUGGUGGCACUUAUGGUGGUGGCUUGAGACCUUGGGGAAAUUAGGGCCCUAACAGCUAGAAUCAAAGAUGAUACCGCAGGGCCCUGUAGCAAGAAAUGGGAAGCAGGGGGAGGGGCAGGGGCUCAGAACAAUAUUCUAGACCAACUUUGACUACUUCCUGUCUUAGUAAUAGACCAAUACAUGGCUCUAUUUAGCAAAGUUUUUAUACUGAAACUUGAUUAUUGCUGCCCUUUAUAAUUUCCUCUUCAAUGAUAUUUCAGCAGUUUCCCUCUUGGUCCUAGUUUUGUGCACAUUUUUUUGAAUGUGGUUCAGAUUAAUUAUAUUUCUCUCACUUUCUUAGCUGGUCCUAUUUUUUCACAUUCUGGCAUGUGGCUAUCAAGUUAGAUUGCUGUAGGCAUCAUAUUGUCAUGGUAACUACUGAACCUAAUGAUGCAGAUGGAUGGCACAUCAGUAUAAUAAAUGAUGGAAAACGGUUCCUAAAAAUUCAUCCCUUUCAUAAGAGGGGAAGAAUGAGUGCCUGAUAUUGUUCAUACCUCCCUUUCUACCUCAGGCCUUUGCAAAUUGAUGUUCAGAGGGUCACUGGAGUGAGAGGGAGGAGGGGGGCGUCUUGGAAAUUUCCAUUUCUCUUUUCAAACCCAAAAUAGGAAUGACUCUUGCUGUUUGUCAGAUUUGCUGAAAAUUGCUCCUCACAAAGAACAUUUUUUUUGUACAUGUAAUUGUAAAUACAGGUUUAGUACAUUAAUGUUCUAUAGUUCUGAUGUUGAUAAUAAUUAAACCCAGAUAAUUUUAUAGCAAAUGCUUGUCUCUGGCUGAUUUUUACAGAGGAAGAAAGUACAUUGGUGGUCUCUUCCCUGAAGUCUUUCUAAUAAUGGUUUUAUUGUGUGAU
rnacentral:lncRNA from 1 species